AAAGCAAUCAGUUUCAGGAUGUUUUCAGUUCCAAACAAACACAAUGAAAUAUUCAGUUUAAACAUUUCAAGCUUUAAGACAAAAUAGUUUCUCAAAGAGAUUUAUUAGUACUCGUAAAAUGCACAGGACUUUAUUGUUUCAGAGUAGCUACAGUUGCCUUUUCAAAACACAUCCAACACAGGGGUGUUUUUUUUAUUUUUUAAGCUAGUUUAAAUAAACGCUGCCAGAAUCUGUUAUAGCAGAUUUCACAAGAGGUGAUUUCUCAAUAUCUCAGACUUGAAAACCGUUCCAGCAUAGGGGUGACCACAAGUACCUCAAAUUCGACCCUUAACACACUUCCCUUUCUUGUGUAGCUAUAUUAAAAAUACUCCUGCUGGCCUCUCAUAGUUAGUCUUUAAAAUAGAAAUAUCUUCAUGAUACCAAAGUGUUAUGCUAAAAGAAGCAUUGUCCAAACUCCAGACAAUAUGUGUCAAAGUGUUUAUCAUCUAUAGAUUUCUUCUGUUUUUAUCCAUUUUGAGUCAUCAUAUGCAUGUGUUUUGUCAAGCAUGCAUAAGUAAAUACGAGAGUGAUUUUGAAAUGUUAAUUUUAUGUAGUUUAUCCAACACAAUCUGAUCUAAAUCAUAAUUGUGACAUUUUUAAAUAAUGAAUGAACUAUGGUUUAAUAAUUUUUUAGAAUUCAAUUUCACUUGACACCUCCAUACACUCAGGCCUUCCCGUCUGACUUGCUGAAUCUAGAAAUAACUUAAAUAGCACCGGUCUGAAAACAUGAAGUUGGUUAAAAGAUUUCAAAAAGUAAUACAUUGUUUAUGAUUUAAUAAAAUAUUCCGUGGGUGUGUGUACCACUACAUCUGGCUAAAACUAACGGCAUUUCAGACAAGGAAGAUCAUAUCAACAGUGAAACACGGUGGUGUCAUUGUGGUGGUCAUUGUGUCUUUAACAUAUUGGGAAAGAUAAGUCCCAAUAUAGAAAAAAAUUAUCCUUUGUAUAAUUUAACUAACUUAUCAAUGCUACUCUUAGAUACAUUAAAUAGAGAAAAAGUAAAAUAAGAUAUUAUGAAGUACUUUAUAAAGUUCUGUUGGGUAAAAUCUUUAUAAAACAGAGAUAAAAACGUAUUUUUUUUCUACAGGCUACAUUUUCUGCAGCUGUUGUGAUGCCAAAACCAGAAAUGAUCCUUCAGUGAGAUCUUAAUGCUCUUCCUUUUUGCUUCCAAUUACUACACUCUAAAAGGCAAUACAUAUUCUUACUUAAAUUAGGUUUGUAUGCUUUACUCAAGUCUCACUAAAUUGUUUAUUCAACUCAAGUAAUGUGAGUAAUGUACGUGUUUGGCCUGAGAAAGAUACAAGACAAAGUUAUUUUGAGUAAACUGGAUUUGAAUAUUUUUGUUAGUGGAGUGAAUGCUUCAGCUCAGCAGUGCGCAUGCGCAGCAAAGUGCAGGAAGCUUCCAGAAUGUUUGUGGACUUGUACAUUGGAAGAAGCAGAGCUUCUCUUAAAGACCAAAAAUGUUGCCAGGAGGACUGCUAUCCUUCGAUGUCUCUCAGUUUUACUCGAGGAUGAUGAAAGAAUUAUACAAUGUCUCUGAAUUCAGAUGCCAUGGCAGACUACAUCCAGGUUCCUGUGGGGUUAUUGACUGUUAUGUUAUGCUAGGUAUAUAAUUUUGUUAAAAUAAAAUGUUAAAUUUUGUGAACUUAAAA